CCCAAAGCCACGACGCCAUUUUAUCUUCAUUCGACCGAGACGGUGUUAUGUUCGUGAGGUGUAGAGAUGCAACGUUAGCCUACAGAAGAGUGAAAGUUUCUCAGGCCGUUUUCAUUUCCUGAAAUAAGAUCCUCUCUCCUUCAUUCCCGCCGAGGCCUGGUUUUACUGCGAGUCUGAAGCAGACACAUUUGGGGGGUUUUCUACUCGGAGGAGAGAAUUCAUCAAAUGAAUUGGGCCAGACUUCUGCAGUGUCAAGUGAAGGAAGCUCCUCUCAUAAGAUUGCAAACUGGGAGUCUGAUGACACGGAGCGAGAGUGAUGGAGGGAGCAGAAUGAUGAAGAUGAAGCCAGAAUUAAGCCAAGUUCCUGGCUUUUCCCAAGACCUUCAAGGACACGAUUGACCUCGGAAUCGGCUGUAAAGGAGGAUGAAACCGAUGUCUAAGAACGGGACAGCGAUAUUGCAUCAAUUUAUCUCCUUCAUUUGAUUCCACCACCACCACAAGGCUGCAAGGGACCUGGAGAAAUGUCCUAUCAAGCUGAAAAACAUCUUCAAAAAGGCACUAACCAGAAGAACACCUUGAUUGCAUAGAAGAGACCACACAGCCAUACCUGCUCGCUGAUGGGACAACGAGGAACCGUGUUCAUGGAUGCUACACAACUGUCGACAAGUAUCUUGCUGCAGUCUUGUUCAAAUCUACCUGUCAUAUUUGUUAAUGUCUAGGUAAAUUUGAUGAUUUUAUGUGUUUUAUUAACUAUUUUAUGUUUCCGUGCAACACUUAAUGAAUGUGACUGACUAACUAACCUCUGCACAUCUGGUAUAUGCUUUAAAGUUGCCACUUUGACCAUUUGUUAAAUAAACGUUGGAAUUUGUACAUCUGUUUGAAGACUCUUGAUUUUAUGUCUAAUCUUGUACAUUAACACCAUACAAUAGCAUUUUUAUUUUUGCACUGAAAAGAAUACUUUAUUAAUUACACUUAAAACAACACCAGGGGUGUUAAAUACCCCAGAGUGUAAAAUUUGAACAACAAUCGCAAGUGUAACAAUUCCCACUCGGAGUGUAAUUUUUCUACACUGUAAG